rnacentral:lncRNA from 1 species
AACACGGUAGUGAGUUAUAUUGUCAGAAAAAACAGAAACAGUCAAUGCCACAUUUCCUAUAACAACCAAAUGCACAAAUUGUUAAGACACAAUAAUAAAGAUGGCUACAACACUGUCAUAUUGUAGUACGACUGAAUAGUAUUGGGAGACAAAUUUUAGUAUGUAACACUCGAGCUCAGAUUAGUGAGAUUAAAGGAAGAUUCCACAAAUCGCUAAUGUAAGAUACAACACUGUAAUUUGGUAUCCAUACUUGUCUUAGUAAUGUGCAGAUUACAACAACCACAAAUGAUAUAUAACCAGCAAAAAAAUUAUUUAAGCGACCUGAAGCUGCCAUAGAUUCUGCUCAACUACAAAAAGCAGGUAAGCUUCCAUAAUUUCAGGCUGAUAUCAAAAGUUUGAAACUGAUCAAUACAACACCAUAAGGAGCAGAAAUGAAGACAACAAUAAAGGGACAAACACAUAAACCAUAGUGAACAAACCAAAGAGGUGGAUGGAGAUCACCGGUUAAACAGGGACAUGGUGGCAUACGGGCAGCGAACUGCGAGAAUGGAACAAACGCAAACGAGUCAGCAAUUUCCCGGCGGGUUAUCCUCGGAAAUCUGGCGAAAGAACAUAAUUAAAAAAAAUCAGAUGGUAAAAGACAGUGACAGAGCGAAGAAAACGACAUAAAAUGAAGAGUGGCAUCAAUAAGAAGGCGUGGCAGAGUGAAUGGGAAAAAUGAAUUACCAGGCAGAUCGAUGGUUCGUUUUUCUAUUUAUCCUUCUGAUGUCCGGUAUAAGCAAAAAUUGAGAUUCUGACCAAAGAGUUGCAGAGGCAAAGAACUGAUGGUGCGGGUGGACUUCCGAGCUUCCCAGCUUGAAGCAAGUGUAGAUGGGGUUUUGCUGGUGGGUUUUCAGGUUCCGAUUCUGUCUGCGAUCCUAGGCCAGCUUCCAAAGCAUCAAGUUUUGCAACAAAUGAACAUAUACAAAUUAGCUGUUAGACAGUGGCAAGACCCGAAAAGACACUUCAAUAUUGUGCCAGACAUCGUAAUAUGGAUCAGGGUCAGAUCAAAUCCUCUCCAAUACUGCCAUUGGAAGCAUAGGAUGAAGAGGUGGUAAAAUUUAGAUUGAAAAGGGAAAAGAAAUACCUUAUGGAUUCGACGACAGAUCUACUGCAGCCAGACCUGCUCCAUUGUCCUUCCAUGCCUUUGUUAAAGAUGGCUGACCGGAUCUUGAUAGAAAAUGAAAGAACUUAAAAAGAGUCUAGAAUGACCACCGACAGGAAAGUGAAACGGACGACGACGGGCAAAUGGUAGCGUACCUAGGUGUCUGUCCAGAUCGUCCCAUAUCCAUAGAUUUCAUCGGGCCGCGACGGGUGGCACAAUUUCCAUGCAUGCUUUAGCUGUAGGUGAAGGUCGAUCGGUGAGCUUUCUGCGGAGAUUUCACUAAUAAGCAUGGUGUGGCGGAGAAAGAAUCGGGAGCAAAUGUGUGGGAAUACAAAGAAAGGA